UUUUGCUUUCAUGAACAGGGUUUUAUUGAUUCAAUACAAAGUUUUCUUCAUAUAUUGAUGUAUGGGACUGAUCUAAUUGAAAACUGGACUAUAUACUAUUUAUUAAGCUUUCUGUUUUUCAAUUUUCACGUUUCUGUUUUGUCAUAAUUUCGUGAUUUUAUCCCUCAAAUCAGUUUUCACGAAAAUUAUUCAUAUAAAUUACAUCUAAUAAUUUUUCGAAAACCAGAUUCUGCCUUUUUAAUAUGUUUAUCCUAUACGAAGUUAGCUUUCUGGAGUUAUGAAAUUCUUUCCCCAUCUUAUGUAUGUUUUUAGACAGCUUGCUGACUUCCCCUAAGUGGUUGUGUAUGAAUUUUGGCAAAAUUACACUUAAACAUUUAACGUAAUUGAUUAGAGGUUGAUGUCCGAGAGAGAAGGGCAUUCCAACUUGUUAUCAGAACCAACUUUUUAGUUUUAGAGCUACUAGAAAUAUAACUGUCUUAUGUGUUCUUCUAUGUCUUAGUGCAUUCUUUUCCGUUUAAUGGCCAAUGAUUCCUCAAUCUCACCGAUCUAGGUAAAUUACUUACAGAGUUUUUUCUUUUAUAUAUUGAAGGAGAAGAAAAUGGCAGCAUCCAGAGCCUCAUCUAACAGAAAAAACAAUGAGGAGAAAAAGAAGGAGCAGCUGCUUCGUGCAGCUCGAAAGCGAUAUGGAUCUACUAUUGUUAUUGAGCAGUUUCUCAAGUUCAACCCUUCAUCAUUCGAUGGUACUGCUGGAACAGGGAAGUGGUUAGAAGAUAUGGAGCGUAUUUUGCGAGUCAUGGAGUGCAUUGACGUAGAGAAGGUUUCCUGCGCAUCAUUUAUGCUAAAAAAUAGAGCUUGUCAUUGGUGGGAGAGUAGAAUUGAACGAAAUGUGACUUGGGCUAGGUUCAGACAGCUGGUGCUUGAAAAGUACUCUCCCGAGACACUUAGAGAUCAGAAAGAGGCGAAGUUGCUAGUGAAAGUCGAGAAUGAAGGAGAGAAACAAGAGAAGAGAAAACUUGAUGCCUUGAAGACAAAAGGAGGCCUGAGCAAGAAGAAAAAGUCUGCCAAUCAAACACAUUGCACCAAAUGCAACCGGCAUCACAAAGGGGAGUGUUUGUUUGGGAGGAACGUCUGCUACGAAUGCAGCCAGCCAGGGUAUAUGUCUCGAGGGUGCACUCAGAAUCAGGGGAAUAAAGAGAGUAAAGAUCAGAAGAAAGCCAAGGCAAACCGCAGUUUUAAGCUGAAAUAGACACAUUUACAUUGCACAUCAGAAUUGUACAGAAACUGUGAAUGGUUCAAGAUGUUUAUCACACACAUUCUUGUAAUAUUUCACGGUAUUUUUGUGUGCAGUUUAAUAUUCCUUUAUUUACCGAUUGGUUGCUGAUAUAAUGCUGUUUUUCAUUAUGACUUGUCAUUACCAUCUAUAACAUUUCUUCUUUGUAUAGGACGAUAUGAAUCAAUUUAAAUAAAUCACUGUU
rnacentral:lncRNA from 1 species